rnacentral:rRNA from 1 species
UACAGAGGGUGCGAGCGUUAAUCGGAAUUACUGGGCGUAAAGCGUGCGUAGACGGCUAUCUAAGUCGGGUGUGAAAGCCCCGGGCUCAACCUGGGAAUUGCAUUCGAGACUGAAUAGCUAGGGUGCGGUAGAGGGAAGCGGAAUUUCCGGUGUAGCGGUGAAAUGCGUAGAUAUCAGGAGGAACACCUGCGGUGUAGACGGCUUACUGGACCAUAACUGACGCUGAGGCACGAAAGCGUGGGUAGCAAACAGG